AAGCAUGAUCCAGACUACAAUAUAGCUUUUAAGUGCUGUGUUGUCAUUCCCCCUGCUCAAAAUAAGGUUGUUUCUUCACUAUACCUGCCUACUAUAUUUCUGUAGCAGUCAGAGAUGCUUGGCCUCAUACAA
ensembl:snoRNA SNORA63 Small nucleolar RNA SNORA63